UACGGAGGGAGCUAGCGUUAUUCGGAAUUACUGGGCGUAAAGCGCACGUAGGCGGCUUUGUAAGUUAGAGGUGAAAGCCUGAGCUCAACUCCAGAAUUGCCUUUGAUACUGCAUGGCUUGAAUCCAGGAGAGGUGAGUGGAAUUCCGAGUGUAGAGGUGAAAAUUCGUAGAUAUUCGGAAGAAACACCAGUGGCGAAGGCGGCUCACUGGACUGGGUAUUGAC
rnacentral:rRNA from 1 species